rnacentral:rRNA from 1 species
GACGAACGCUGGCGGCGUGCCUAAUACAUGCAAGUAGAACGCUGAAGCGAGGAGCUUGCUCUUCUUGGAUGAGUUGCGAACGGGUGAGUAACGCGUAGGUAACCUGCCUUGUAGCGGGGGAUAACUAUUGGAAACGAUAGCUAAUACCGCAUAACAAUGGAUGACACAUGUCAUUUAUUUGAAAGGGGCAAUUGCUCCACUACAAGAUGGACCUGCGUUGUAUUAGCUAGUAGGUGAGGUAAUGGCUCACCUAGGCGACGAUACAUAGCCGACCUGAGAGGGUGAUCGGCCACACUGGGACUGAGACACGGCCCAGACUCCUACGGGAGGCAGCAGUAGGGAAUCUUCGGCAAUGGGGGCAACCCUGACCGAGCAACGCCGCGUGAGUGAAGAAGGUUUUCGGAUCGGAAAGCUCUGUUAUAAGUCAAGAACGGGUGUGAGAGUGGAAAGUUCACACUGUGACGGUAGCUUACCAGAAAGGGACGGCUAACUACGUG